UUCCCAUUCUUCCAGACCACCUGCUUUGAAAAUUUUAAGUUGGAUAAAAUUCGAAUAAUUUUCCCCAAAGGGUCGAGCGCAAAACGUACUCAGGUGUCGACUUGUAAGUGUUGUAAGCUUUCCAAAUACGGGCGACACUCCAUAAAGCAGAACUACAGCCAACCCCUAUUCCAAACUAUCCGUGUGAAAUACUUCAUAUUGACAUAUUCACACUGGAGAAAAAGGUGUAUUUGAGUUGUAUAGACAAGCUCACGAAUGCUUGAAUCAAAAUCAUCGGUUUAGUUGCGGGAAAAGUUAUUAGAGGCUCUCCAUUAUUUCUCAGUCCCUAAGACAAUGGUUUCUGAUAACGAUAGGGGCCUCUUAACUCCCACCGUUCUGAAUUAUUUGAGAACUUUGGAAAUUGAGUUAUUUAACACUCCGACUCUGAAGAGCGGGGUCUAUGAGCAAAUUGAGAAAUUUCAUUCCACAUUUUUAGAAACUUACAGGUGUUUGAAAAGCGAAUAUCCUACUUUCAAGAAUACUGACCUGGUGCCUAUAACCGUGGACACGUACGACAACCCUGUUCACUCGGUGACAAAUACGAAACCAGUGGAUAUAUUCUUUAAUCGUUCAGCAAGAAUAAAUUAUCAAGGCUUAGCUAAUUUUAAAGAAAAGCUAGAGUGUUAAUUAAGCACAAACAAUUAUUGACUAAUCUCUUUUGUAAUAAGAAACGAGCGAAACCUAUACAGGGUGAUAAAGUUUUCAGCGCUAACAAACAAAUAAAGUCAAAAGCAAAACAACGUUUCAGGCCUGGGGAGGUACAGAAAACGGGAAAGUGACAGUUAAGACGAAAUCAGGGAAGCGCUUUUACACGUUGCAAGCAUAUCCCUGAUCAACACGAUGGGAGCCGUGCACAUCUUCAAAUACGAUGCGCCUAUCGUUCCUCUCCAACAGGGACGUGUCUAGCGCGUCAAUGGAAUAUUUAAACUGGCCCAUGUCAUCGAUCUUGAGAACAUUCAACGAGUCAUCGGGGAGAUAGUAAAAGAAGCAAUACGCGUGGCCAACCCGGAAAUCAGUACCCUGACAUUGCACUACUUACGGGAGGCUACGGUGGACAUUUGCGCCACUACGAAGGCCGCGAUCCAUAGACUGGCAGGGAUCAGCUUGGAAAUAAGUCGCAGAAUCACCGGAUACGUCAGAUUGGGACGCCAUUCUCAAGUCUCAGGAGAACAUCGUUCAAAACAAUAAUUAACAAAUCAGAGCCAAUACGCUACUCUUCGACGCUACACACGAGUCACUCCAACGAGUCAAGUUAUUGGAAAGGUCAACGCAAUCGACUGUAAUAUGCAUGCUACAACAGCAAUUCUACAUAAAGUGAACGAGAGCAUAAGGACACAUCAACUCUCAAAGGCCGGUGUUGUCAACUCAAACCUAGUUGAUCACGAAGAUAUGUACAAACGAUAUUGACAGAAGUGGAAUACUCGCCGUAUUAAACGUCGUCGAAACGAUAGAGUUCUCUCGUUCCUCAAUUCCCAUGAACAGAACAUCACUCCUUCACGUCUUGCCAAAGGUCACAGAAGUGGAAUAAAGCCUGAUACACAGUUUUCCCCCAAUAACCAAUAAAAUGCAAGCGGUGUUGAAUUUCGACACAUUGGCAAUGGAUAACCAUGAGACAUACGCCGUCAUCGGACGCUGCCUAUCCAUCGGCAACACCUUAGUUUGCCAGGAAAAGGAUCUGAAGAAACUGGAGGAAGAUAGUUGCAUUCCCAGAGGAGGACACGCUUCGCGCAAUUAUCUGGAAAAUAAACAAGAGAUAACUCUGGUGGAUACGGGCCCACUAACCAACCUCAAUGAGAUAGUAAUCGCCGCGACAAAAGAACACCACUUGGUGGGAACGUUUCUCAUCCAACUUGAUAACGACACCGUAACGAUUCACGACAGGAACUACAGCAGCUAUUCGUCAACCCAUAUGAUUCACCAAAGUAACCGCCACGGGUUAUGAGCCAUCGCUAGGGAAUGUCCACGACUUCACCAUCAGAAACUUGAAUAGACUAGCCGACAUGUCUAGCAAGUUACUGGUAUCCUUCUUUACGGAAGCAAUGAUAAUCCUAAUCGUUGCAGUUACCCUCUAUCUCUUUUGGAAAAAAACACGUCAACAAAAGCCAACUCGAAACCAGACGACAUCGCUACGCAGUUGGAGUCGCAUACAGGACGUCAAAGACAUAGUGAUGCAGGACGCAGAUCUUGUGGUACACCUAGCACUGCAGCCCCUCCCUCGCACCCAACACUGCCCUCCUUGACGACCCUGACUUCCAAUGACGCCGUUCCUGAAUGUACGGCGUCAGCUUCUGCGCCCGAGUCACAUUGCCCACGAGCACGCAGCGCUGGCGUGGCUACAUUGUUGCAGAAUAUCCUACGACGCCGAAGUUAUGCCUACGCCGCAGAUUUGCUCGCCCAACAACAUAACGAACAAUAUCCACAACGCUGACGCUAUGCCUGCGCUGCAGAAUGGCUGGGCUGAUUGCAAAACAUCCGCAGCGCUGGCUCCACCGGAAAUCUGACACCGCACGACGUUGGGUCAGUCGAUCUCCAGCAGAGAGGCUUGCUGCCGUUCUGACAAGAGCCAGAAUUUCAUUCCAUUUCCGGAGACGAAUCUGACCAGAUGAUUAUCAAUAAAUCUUCUUAAACUAAACCUCUAACUCAAA